rnacentral:rRNA from 1 species
AACGAACGCUGGCGGCAUGCCUAACACAUGCAAGUCGAACGAGACCUUCGGGUCUAGUGUCGUCUGGGUGCGUAACGCGUGGGAUCCUGCCCUUAGGUUUGGAAUACCUCCCCGACUGGGGUGCUAAUACCGGAUAAUGUCUUCUGCCCAAUGAUUUAUCGCCUUUUGAUGGUCCGGAGUUGGAUUAGCUAGUUCUUAGAGUUAAAGCUUACUAAGGCGACGAUCGAUAACUGGUCUGAUAAGAUGAUCAGCCACCCUGGGACUGAGACACGGCCAAGACUUCUACGGGAAGCAGCAGUGGCGAAUAUGGGACAAGGGGCGAAAGCCAUGUCCAGCAACGCCGCGUGAAUGUUGGUUGUCUUAGGAUUAUAAAGCUCUUUUACCCGAGAUGAGUAUGACAGUACCGGAAGAAUAAGGUCCGGCUUACCCCGUG